AGAAUCAACGCUGGCGGCGUGCCUAACACAUGCAAGUCGCACGAGAAAGGGUAGCAAUACCUGAGUAAAGUGGCGCACGGGUGAGUAACACGUGAAUUAUCUACCUCCGAGUGGGGAAUAACUGAGAGAAAUCUUAGCUAAUACCGCAUAACACUUACGAGUCAAAGCAGCAAUGCGCUUGGAGAGGAGUUCGCGGCAGAUUAGUUAGUUGGCGGGGUAAUGGCCCACCAAGACGAUGAUCUGUAUCCGGCCUGAGAGGGCGCACGGACACACUGGAACUGAAACACGGUCCAGACUCCUACGGGAGGCAGCAGUGGGGAAUUUUGCGCAAUGGGGGAAACCCUGACGCAGCAACGCCGCGUGGAGGAUGAAAUAUCUUGGUAUGUAAACUCCUUUCGAUGGGGAAGAUUAUGACGGUACCAUAGAAGAAGCCCGGCUAACUUCGUGCCAGCAGCCGC
rnacentral:rRNA from 1 species